UGAAUACGAGAUGCUACGGCGUCGAAGCAGUGUAUGUCAGACUUCCAAGAAAAGCUCGCAAUGUCAUAAAUAAAGAAUGCCUGUACCAUAACCGACACAGGUGGGUAGGUAGAGUAUACUAAGGGGCGCGAGAUAACUCUCUCUAAGGAACUCGGCAAAAUAACUCCGUAACUUCGGGAGAAGGAGUGCCUUCUUUAAGAAGGUUGCAAUAACAAGAUCCAAGCAACUGUUUAUCAAAAACACAGGUCUCCGCUAAGUCGUAAGACGAUGUAUGGGGGCUGACGCCUGCCCAGUGCCAGAAGGUUAAAGAAGCUGGUUAGCAAUAGCGAAGCUGGUGACUGAAGCCCUGGUGAACGGCGGCCGUAACAAUAACGGUCCUAAGGUAGCGAAAUUCCUUGUCGGGUAAGUUCCGACCCGCACGAAAGGCGUAAUGAUUUGGAUACUGUCUCGGAGAGGGACUCGGUGAAAUAGACUUGUCUGUGAAGAUGCGGACUACCUGCACCAGGACAGAAAGACCCUAUGAAGCUUUACUGUAACCUGAAAUUGAAAUUGGACUUUAUUUGCGCAGUAUAGGUGGGAGGCGUUGAAAGUAAUCUUGCGGGAUUAGUGGAGCCAUCAGUGAGAUACCACUCCUAUAAUGUUAGAUUUCUAACUUUGGAUCAUGAUCUGGUCAAAGAACAGUUUCAGGCGGGCAGUUGACUGGGGCGGUCGCCUCCCAAAUGGUAACGGAGGCGUACAAAGGUUUCCUCUGAACGGGUAGAAAUCGUACCUAGAGUGUAAAGGCAUAAGGAAGCUUGACUGUGAGACCUACAAGUCGAGCAGGGACGAAAGUCGGUCUUAGUGAUCUGACGGUGCUGAGUGGAAAGGCCGUCACUCAACGGAUAAAAGUUACUCUAAGGAUAACAGGCUGAUCUCCCCCAAGAGUUCACAUCGACGGGGAGGUUUGGCACCUCGAUGUCGGCUCAUCGCAUCCUGGGGCGGUAGUACGUCCCAAGGGUUUUGCUGUUCGCCCAUGAAAGCGGUACGCGAGCUGGGUUCAGGACAUCGUGAGACAGUUCGGUCCAUAUCCGGUGUAGGCGUUAGAAUAUUGAGAGGAGCCUUCUCUAGUACGAGAGGACCGAGAAGGACAUACCUCUGGUGUACCAGUUAUCGUGCCAACGGUAAACGCUGGGUAGCUAUGUAUGGAGAGGAUAACCGCUGAAAGCAUCUAAGUGGGAAGCCCACCUCAAGAUGAGUA
rnacentral:rRNA from 1 species